rnacentral:rRNA from 1 species
CCUCCUCUUGGGGAUAGCCUCGGGAAACCGAGGAUAAUACCCGAUACUUCAAUGUGGCCGCAUGACGACAUUGAGAAAGCUUUUGCGGAGAAGGAUGGGCCCGCGGCCUGUUAGCUUGUUGGUGGGGUAGAGGCCUACCAAGGCAAUGAUGGGUAGCUGGGUUGAGAGACCGACCAGCCAGAUUGGGACUGAGACACGGCCCAGACUCCUACGGGAGGCAGCAGUGGGGAAUCUUGCACAAUGGGCGAAAGCCUGAUGCAGCGACGCCGCGUGCGGGAAGAAGGCCUUCGGGUUGUAAACCGCUUUCAGCAGGGACGAGGCGAAAGUGACGGUACCUGCAGAAGAAGCCCCGGCUAACUACGUGCCAGCAGCCGCGGUAAUACGUAGGGGGCAAGCGUUAUCCGGAUUCAUUGGGCGUAAAGCGCUCGUAGGCGGUCUGUUAGGUCGGGAGUUAAAUCCGGAGGCUCAACCUCCGCCCGCUCCCGAUACCGGCAGACUUGAGUUUGGUAGGGGAAGGUGGAAUUCCUAGUGUAGCGGUGGAUGCGCAGAUAUUAGGAAGAACACCAGUGGCGAAGGCGGCCUUCUGGGCCA